UACGUAGGGGGCAAGCGUUGUCCGGAAUCAUUGGGCGUAAAGAGCGCGUAGGCGGCCCUGUAAGUCCGUUCUGAAAGUCGGAGGCUCAACCUCCGAAAGCGGAUGGAUACUGCAGGGCUAGAGUCCGGAAGAGGCGAGUGGAAUUCCUGGUGUAGCGGUGGAAUGCGCAGAUAUCAGGAGGAACACCAACGGCGAAGGCAGCUCGCUGGGACGGUACUGACGCUGAGGCGCGAAAGCGUGGGGAGCGAACAGG
rnacentral:rRNA from 1 species